UUAAAACUGGAUCCAGGUUGUUCCCACCUGGAUUUCCCACAGGGAGUGGUACUCUGUUAUUACGGUAACUUUGUACGCCAGUUUUAUCU
rfam:Human rhinovirus 2, complete sequence